UGCAAGUAGAACGCUGAAGAGAGGAGCUUGCUCUUCUUGGAUGAGUUGCGAACGGGUGAGUAACGCGUAGGUAACCUGCCUUGUAGCGGGGGAUAACUAUUGGAAACGAUAGCUAAUACCGCAUAACAAUGGAUGACACAUGUCAUUUAUUUGAAAGGGGCAAUUGCUCCACUACAAGAUGGACCUGCGUUGUAUUAGCUAGUAGGUGAGGUAAUGGCUCACCUAGGCGACGAUACAUAGCCGACCUGAGAGGGUGAUCGGCCACACUGGGACUGAGACACGGCCCAGACUCCUACGGGAGGCAGCAGUAGGGAAUCUUCGGCAAUGGGGGCAACCCUGACCGAGCAACGCCGCGUGAGUGAAGAAGGUUUUCGGAUCGUAAAGCUCUGUUGUAAGUCAAGAACGGGUGUGAGAGUGGAAAGUUCACACUGUGACGGUAGCUUACCAGAAAGGGACGGCUAACUACGUGCCAGCAGCCGCGGUAAUACGUAGGUCCCGAGCGUUGUCCGGAUUUAUUGGGCGUAAAGCGAGCGCAGGCGGUUUGAUAAGUCUGAAGUUAAAGGCUGUGGCUCAACCAUAGUUCGCUUUGGAAACUGUCAAACUUGAGUGCAGAAGGGGAGAGUGGAAUUCCAUGUGUAGCGGUGAAAUGCGUAGAUAUAUGGAGGAACACCGGUGGCGAAAGCGGCUCUCUGGUCUGUAACUGACGCUGAGGCUCGAAAGCGUGGGGAGCGAACAGGAUUAGAUACCCUGGUAGUCCACGCCGUAAACGAUGAGUGCUAGGUGUUGGAUCCUUUCCGGGAUUCAGUGCCGCAGCUAACGCAUUAAGCACUCCGCCUGGGGAGUACGACCGCAAGGUUGAAACUCAAAGGAAUUGACGGGGGCCCGCACAAGCGGUGGAGCAUGUGGUUUAAUUCGAAGCAACGCGAAGAACCUUACCAGGUCUUGACAUCCCGAUGCUAUUUCUAGAGAUAGAAAGUUACUUCGGUACAUCGGUGACAGGUGGUGCAUGGUUGUCGUCAGCUCGUGUCGUGAGAUGUUGGGUUAAGUCCCGCAACGAGCGCAACCCCUAUUGUUAGUUGCCAUCAUUCAGUUGGGCACUCUAGCGAGACUGCCGGUAAUAAACCGGAGGAAGGUGGGGAUGACGUCAAAUCAUCAUGCCCCUUAUGACCUGGGCUACACACGUGCUACAAUGGUUGGUACAACGAGUUGCGAGUCGGUGACGGCGAGCUAAUCUCUUAAAGCCAAUCUCAGUUCGGAUUGUAGGCUGCAACUCGCCUACAUGAAGUCGGAAUCGCUAGUAAUCGCGGAUCAGCACGCCGCGGUGAAUACGUUCCCGGGCCUUGUACACACCGCCCGUCACACCACGAGAGUUUGUAACACCCGAAGUCGGUGAGGUAACCUUUUGGAG
rnacentral:rRNA from 1 species